GAGAUCUGCUCUGCCUGUGAGUCCUUCCAUUUCCUCUGCUCCUGUGCCAGUGGAGAUAGAGAAUCUUCCACAGAGUCCUGGAACAGACCAGCAUGACAGGAAAUGGCUCUCUGCUACCAGCGACUGCUGUCAACGUGGUGGUGCUUGAGUGAACAUUUUACAUUUUGUUCCUGACAGCUGGCCAGCAUUGUGUUUAUAUUGGCAUGGAAAAGAGAUAUCUGAUUCAGAGAACAGUGUUUUCCAAGGAUUGUGACUGAAGACUUCCUUAAUGGUGUAAUAAUGUACCUCCUCAUAAAAACAGGUUUGACAGCUGUAGCUCAUUUUUUGUUGUUGAAGGAAGUUUCAUUUGUUUUGUUUUUAACUACUUUUAAUAAAGAAUUGAGAUCCAGUGUAUGAUUAAGAUUUGUAAGAAAUUGCAGAUUCCUUAAUAAAGCUCACAUCUAC
rnacentral:sRNA from 1 species